rnacentral:rRNA from 1 species
AGCAGUGAGGAAUAUUGGUCAAUGGGAGAGAUCCUGAACCAGCCAAGCCGCGUGAGGGAAGACGGCCCUAUGGGUUGUAAACCUCUUUUGUCGGAGAACAAAACCCGGGACGUGUCCCGGACUGCGUGUAUCCGAAGAAAAAGCAUCGGCUAACUCCGUGCCAGCAGCCGCGGUAAUACGGAGGAUGCGAGCGUUAUCCGGAUUUAUUGGGUUUAAAGGGUGCGUAGGCGGUCCGUUAAGUCAGCGGUAAAAUUGCGGGGCUCAACCCCGUCGAGCCGUUGAAACUGGCAGACUUGAGUUGGCGAGAAGUACGCGGAAUGCGCGGUGUAGCGGUGAAAUGCAUAGAUAUCGCGCAGAACUCCGAUUGCGAAGGCAGCGUACCGGCGCCAGACUGACGCUGAGGCACGAAAGCGUGGGGAUCGAACAGGAUUAGAUACCCUGGUAGUCCACGCAGUAAACGAUGAAUGCUGGUUGUCCGGGUCGAAUGAGACCUGGGCGGCGA